rnacentral:tRNA from 1 species
GAACCGUUAGCUCAGUUGGUAGAGCAUCUGACUUUUAAUCAGAGGGUCGCUGGUUCGAACCCAGCACGGCUCA